rnacentral:rRNA from 1 species
GGUAUUUUGACCGUGCAAAGGUAGCAUAAUCAUUAGUUUUUUAAUUGAAAGCUGGAAUGAAAGGUUGGAUGAGAAAUAAGCUGUCUCUAUUUAAUUUUAUUAGAAUUUUAUUUUUAAGUAAAAAAGCUUAAAUUUUGAUAGAAGACGAGAAGACCCUAUAGAGUUUUAUUUAUUUUUUAAAUAAAAUUAAUAGUAUUAAUUAUUUUUAUUUAAUAAAUAAAUUUAAUUGGGGUGAUUGAAAAAUUUAAUAAACUUUUUUUGUAUAUAUACAUUGAUAUAUGGUUAAUUGAUCCUUAAUUUAAGAUUAAAAGAUAAAAUUACCUUAGGGAUAACAGCGUAAUUUUUUUUGAGAGUUCAAAUCGAAAAAAAAGAUUGCGACCUCGAUGUUGGAUUAAAAUAAAAUUUUGGUGUAGAAGCUAAGA